GAUGAACGCUGGCGGCGUGCCUAAUACAUGCAAGUCGAGCGAACAGACGAGGAGCUUGCUCCUCUGACGUUAGCGGCGGACGGGUGAGUAACACGUGGAUAACCUACCUAUAAGACUGGGAUAAAUUCGGGAAACCGGAGCUAAUACCGGAUAAUAUAUUGAACCGCAUGGUUCAAUAGUGAAAGACGGUUUUGCUGUCACUUAUAGAUAGAUCCGCGCCGCAUUAGCUAGGUGGUAAGGUAACGGCUUACCAAGGCGACGAUGCGUAGCCGACCUGAGAGGGUGACCGGCCACACUGGAACUGAGACACGGUCCAGACUCCUACGGGAGGAUGCAGUAGGGAAUCUUCCGCAAUGGGCGAAAGCCUGACGGAGCAACGCCGCGUGAGUGAUGAAGGUCUUCGGAUCGUAAAACUCUGUUAUUAGGGAAGAACAAAUGUGUAAGUAACUAUGCACGUCUUGACGGUACCUAAUCAGAAAGCCACGGCUAACUACGUG
rnacentral:rRNA from 1 species